rnacentral:rRNA from 1 species
AGAGUUUGAUCCUGGCUCAGGACGAACGCUGGCGGCGUGCUUAACACAUGCAAGUCGAACGGAGAUAAUAGAGUGUUUACACAAUAUUAUCUUAGUGGCGGACGGGUGAGUAACACGUGGGUAACCUGCCCUAUGGAGGGGGAUAACAUCCAGAAAUGGGUGCUAAUACCGCAUAAAGUGCAAGUGCCGCAUGGCACAUG